CUUGUGCUGUUCCCUGUUGCGGAAUUCUGCAGCGCACCAGCUCCUAGCUUGGGCCUUGAGCUACAUUAUUCACUUUUCACCCAAUAGUUCCAGCACCUGCCUUUUAUCUUGACUCCCAAGAGAACCUGGAACUGGCCUUCCAUUGCUGUGAGUCUUCCCUGGGAAAUUGCUGGUGGCUGUUCCCAAGAUAAAGGACAUUUUAAGAGAAGCAGGAACAGGAACUUGAAUACUUUUCACCCUGAAAUACUUGCCAGCUGAGAUCCUGGGUGCAACUACUAUGAAAAGUCCUCAAUCACACCCCCUGGUCACCAACCACACUCUUCCUCUGAUACAGAAAAAUGAUUAUGCAAAAUGUUCUCACACCACCACUCUGAAGAAAAUAGGAGCUGCUAUUGCAUGAAUACAGA